GAAGACGUGCAGGACUUUACUCGGACACGGUGGGAAACUUACAGAACCUGCGUUAGACAGUUCCUUUCUCUGCACGGUGCGUCUAAGGACCUGAUUGACGGAUCAAUCAGCAUCGCCAACAGAGGGACAGACUUUCACAAGCCGAGACACUGACUGCAGAACUGAAACACCCUUCACUGACAGCUACAAUUUCUUCUGAGACUCUCAUCCAUCAAAGGAUUAUAGUUGACCAGGAAGUGCUGCGGAUGGACAAGAUACGAACAACAUCCAUGGGCACAGUGAAGAAUCCAGAGGGUCUUGAUGCUUCAGAAUACAGGCAGGAUCUACUGAAGAGGCGGCUGACGCUGACUUCCCGCAGCUCACCUUCCACUGCUCUGCCAGUUCACCACUGGAUUUGUUGCACAGGUGGCAUCCUCGGACAGUUCCACGCUGGAAUUCACUGAGAUCCUGAGAGCGGCCCGUUCUUUCAGAAAUGUUGCAUGUCAAAAAGAAGAACUCCUGACUGGGUCUGCACAGCUGGGCAGCAGUUUCAAAUUUGACCAACCGACCUUUAACACGCUGAAUAAACAUGUGUGUCUCCUGUACGGCCAGUCAUCUGCCAAAAAUGUAAAUGAUGCACGAUACAAAUCUUUCUGUAUGGCCUCGUCAGCCUGGCCAGAACUCUCCAUUCCCCCAACAAGUCAUGCCCUGGACCGACACUGCAGGAGAGCAAACUACCAAGCAGCCAUUAUGAAACACUGUCUGACUGGUAGAAUGUGAGGCAGUGGGCGACACAGUGAGGAUGGGAGCUGGCAGUGACAUGGAGGACGACAAAUCCUGCUCCUGCAGUGUUUUGCAGGUAGUCCACUGUAGUUGCAAUACAACUAAAUGUGAAACUGAAAGAUGUUCUUGUAUGUCUGCAAGACUGUCUUGUACAGAUUUAUGUUGGUGCCAAGCAUAUGAGAAUGUUUCAGAAGAAACAGAGGACAGAGCUGUAUGGGAUGAUGGCUUUGAUGAAAAUGAUAUUGAUGAGUAAUAUACACACUGUGUCACCAUGUACAGUUUUUCUUUUUCUCUCUUUUUUUUCUAUAUUUGUAUGUGUAUUAAUCUAUAUUUUCAUAUUCAGAGACACUGUCGUACUUGAA